UGCAGUUCUGCUUGUGUUGAGUGAUGUAAACAACUGAUCGAUCUAAACUCUUUAAACGUCAGAAUUGAUCAUUAGAUUUUUUGUGACACAACAGUGGUGAGUGUUCCCACCUUCUGCUCUUUGCAACUUAACGCGAUCCUCCCGUUUUCGAGUUUUGGACAUGAUUUUGGAGUAUAUCUUUGCAGUAGCGAUUGACUGCAAAGUAAAGCUACCGGAAAUGUACAACCCCACAUCCGGUCUCAAACCAGGAAGUUAGCAUUUUCUCGUGCACAGGGUCAAUUCUGAUAUCCUGUACUUCACUCCAAUACCGCGUGCUUCCACCAGGGGCACUGUGACCUCUAAGCUGGGGUCAGGUGAUCUGCAGCUGCUGUGAGGCCAGAGGUGACCAGAUGGGAUGAAGGUGGAGCUGGGGUGAACCCAAGCAGACACCUGUCAGUCAAAGAGGCCACGCCCCUAAUUAUGUUACCUUUAACCUAAUCGAUACCUCAGUCUUUAACACACUAGCCUCCGAUCCUGUCUAAUACCUGGGUUUGGUACGUCCAAAAGCAGGAUCAAGAUCUAACAGUAAACAACAACCUCACCUUACUACACCUGAGACAGGUGACCUGUAGGGCCGAGGCAUUGUCUUUUACAGGUGUAGCAUACCUGAGCUCCAUCGCAGCUUUCAGACUGUUUUUUUUUUGUGUGUGUUUGUUUGUUUUGAAAUCUGCCACGCUUUACGAGGAGGAUGAAGCUCGUCUUUGAGCUCCUUGUUGGAGUCUUUCUGGCUCCUCUGUGUUUGCAUUUCUUCUUCUGCUGUUUUAUUGUGGCUCUGUGGCUCAGCAGCAGCAGCCAUGUUUCUGUCCGUGAUCAGCUGAUGGAGACUAAAACUCUUCCUCAGAUUUAAUCACAAACAUUAAAGACUGCUUCACUUGGCUCUAUUUUUCUAUUUUAUUAUCAUAUGCAGCGUUCGGCUGGAGUGCCUGUAGCUAUGGUUACUGUACAGGUGAGGACACACCUGUCUCUGCUGGCUUUAACAUCAGUCACGGGCAGAGCUUGCACCUGCACACGUCAGUAGAGCGGGAAACCCUGACCUGUGCGCGCGCUCACUGUAAUCUGUACUCGUGCAGUAGAAGCACACCUGCUGCACCCCAGAAACCUGAGCGCGAGGCUCACCUGUACCAACACUCCCACUGAAUAAGAUCCCCGCGCGGACAGCCGUGACGUCUGUUAGCUGUGUAGUCUGAGCCAGCCUGAUUAACAGAUAAUCUAUUAAUCGAUGGUUUUUCGUUAAAUGAGUGAAACUGACCUGAGAGCGGCUUCAGUCCUGCGCACAAGCUCAUUCAAAUUUACGUUAAUUUUACAGGAAAGCAGCAGCGCGUGCACUGACACCCGCGGACUGUUUACGGGUACGGACGGUGUGCCUGCAAUAGGCUUCCGGCUGGGAACAAGCUCCGCGUGAAAGGUUCCUGGCCCUGCUCUGUGCUUUAGUGCUGCAGGGGAGUUCGGUCCAACGGUGGAGCCGCAUUCUCCGUGACCUUACAAACACGUCCACGUGUGUCACGUUAAAUCUGACACCGACAACAUGAACUCCGUGGGCUCUGCCUCCGUUUUCCCACAGGGGAAAUCUCUGCAUCAGCUGAUCGACUGAAACGCUCUUCUUCAGAACAGGUUUCACUCCUGCGGACGUCCGAGUGGAUCUGAGAUUAAAGUUUGGUGUUUGGUCUGCUGACGGAGCUGCACCUCAACCCCACCUGUGAGGAAGCCUGAGGAUGAAGAGCUCAGAAGCACGAAGCAGCCAAUCUGCACCUUUCUCUGAUUUUUUUAAAUAGAUUUUUUCUGAUUACUGUUUAUUCCAGUACAGUUGGUGUGAAGCGCCCACGAUUUCGUUGUACAUGUACGAUGACAAUAAAGGGCUCUUCUAUUCUAUUCUAUUGCUCAACUGGAGAGAUGACAGCACCUACAUCCACCACCACUGAUUAAAUACUUUGUUACUGUACUUAAGGAGCAUCUUCACCUGAACACCAACAAGGGCGGGAUGAGUGUGUGUGUGUGCUCGUGUGCCAUGUUUACAUAUCUUUGUGGGGACCAUCAGCCCUUAUGGGGACAAAGUGCCGUCCCCAUAAGUUUGAAAGCAUCUUUGAGACUCAAAAUGUGGUUUUAGUGUCAGGAUUACAGUCAGGUUAUGGUUAGGCAUUCAGUUUUGAUGGUUAGGGUACACGACUAGGGAAAGCAUUAUGUCAAUUAGAUGUCCUCAGUGAAACAUGAAAACAAGUAUAAGUGUUUGUUUGUUUGUUUAUCAGACCCCAGAGGGCUUCUUUGACCUUUAUUGACCUUGAUUAUUUAUUACAAUCUGAAGUGACAGAAACAUUCAAACUCUGAACGAAGAAAGACUCCACCCCUCAGUGUGACAUCACAGUGACAUUCAGCUGCAGGCCCAUAACUGCAGGUUCAGGGCGAAGUCCUCCAGGUGGUUAAUGUAGUCCGUACACUCAGGAGAACUACAGUCUGUCGGCCACA